AUUGAACGCUGGCGGCAGGCCUAACCCAUGCAAGUCGAGCGAGCGGCGGACGGGUGAGUAAUGUCUGGGAAACUGCCUGAUGGAGGGGGAUAACUACUGGAAACGGUAGCUAAUACCGCAUACCAUCAGAUGUGCCCAGAUGGGAUUAGCUCGUAGGUGGGGUAACGGCUCACCUAGGAGACGAUCCCUAGCUGGUCUGAGAGGAUGACCAGCCACACGGGAACUGAGACACGGGCCAGACUCCUACGUGAGGAAGCAGUGGGGAAUAGUGCACAAUGGGCGCAAGCCGGAUGCAGCCAUGCCGCGUGUGGGAAGAAGGCCUUCGGGUUGUAAAGCACUUUCAGCGUGGAGGCGUUACCCGCAGAAGAAGCACCGGCUAACUCCGUGCCAGCAGCCGCGGUAAUAC
rnacentral:rRNA from 1 species